rnacentral:misc_RNA from 1 species
GGGGUUUUCAAUUUGGGAUUUGAAGUAGAGAAUCUCCAGAUUGUUUGAUGGUUCUGCGAUGGAGCAUGUGAUCGGAGGCAAGUAUAAGUUGGGGAGGAAGAUCGGGAGUGGAUCCUUCGGCGAGAUCUAUGUCGGCGUCAAUAUACAGAGUGGAGAGGAAGUGGGCAUCAAAUUGGAAUCUGUGAAGACAAAGCAUCCUCAACU